AACGAACGCUGGCGGCAUGCCUAACACAUGCAAGUCGAACGAGACCUUCGGGUCUAGUGGCGCACGGGUGCGUAACGCGUGGGAACCUGCCCUUAGGUUCGGAAUAACUCCCCGAAAGGGGUGCUAAUACCGGAUAAUGUCUUCGGACCAAAGAUUUAUCGCCUUUGGAUGGGCCCGCGUUGGAUUAGCUAGUUGGUAGGGUAAAAGCCUACCAAGGCGACGAUCCAUAGCUGGUCUGAGAGGAUGAUCAGCCACACUGGGACUGAGACACGGCCCAGACUCCUACGGGAGGCAGCAGUGGGGAAUAUUGGACAGUAGGCGAAAGCCUGAUCCAGCAAUGCCGCGUGAGUGAUGAAGGCCUUAGGGUUGUAAAGCUCUUUUACCCGGGAUGAUAAUGACAGUACCGGGAGAAUAAGCGCCGGCUAACUACGUG
rnacentral:rRNA from 1 species